GGAGAUAUAACUCAGUAGAGUCCUUGCCUUAUAUGCAAAAGUCCCUGGGUUCAAUCCCCAGCACCA
rnacentral:tRNA from 1 species